GGAAUAUUGGACAAUGGGCGCAAGCCUGAUCCAGCCAUGCCGCGCGAAGGAUGAAGGCCCUCUGGGUCGUAAACUUCUUUUAUACGGGAAAAAACCCCCGAUUGCGAUCGGGGUUGAUGGUACUGUAAGAAUAAGGUUCGGCUAACUUCGUGCCAGCAGCCGCGGUACUACGAAGGACCCGAGCGUUAUCCGGAUUUAUUGGGUUUAAAGGGUGCGUAGGCGGAUUGGUUAGUCAGUGGUGAAAGCCCAUCGCUUAACGAUGGAAUUGCCGUUGAUACUGCCAGUCUUGAGUAUGGUUGAGGUGGGCGGAAUGUGUCAUGUAGCGGUGAAAUGCUUAGAUAUGACACAGAACACCGAUUGCGAAGGCAGCUCGCUAAACCAUAACUGACGCUGAUGCACGAAAGCGUGGGGAGCAAAC
rnacentral:rRNA from 1 species